rnacentral:rRNA from 1 species
AACGAACGCUGGCGGCAUGCCUAACACAUGCAAGUCGAACGAGACCUUCGGGUCUAGUGGCGCACGGGUGCGUAACGCGUGGGAACCUGCCCUUAGGUUCGGAAUAACUCCCCGAAAGGGGUGCUAAUACCGGAUAAUGUCUUCGGACCAAAGAUUUAUCGCCUUUGGAUGGGCCCGCGUUGGCUUAGCUAGUUGGUAGGGUAAAAGCCUACCAAGGCGACGAUCCAUAGCUGGUCUGAGAGGAUGAUCAGCCACACUGGGACUGAGACACGGCCCAGACUCCUACGGGAGGCAGCAGUGGGGAAUAUUGGACAAUGGGCGAAAGCCUGAUCCAGCAAUGCCGCGUGAGUGAUGAAGGCCUUAGGGUUGUAAAGCUCUUUUACCCGGGAUGAUAAUGACAGUACCGGGAGAAUAAGCUCCGGCUAACUCCGCG